UCUACAGCUCUUUACCUGGAAUUAUCCGUCCGAAUGGAUUAAUAACCCAUUCAAAGCUAAUGAGUAUGCCAUGAAAAAAAAAUUGUAAUUGUAUUCGAAAAGAUGAAAAAAUUAUUCUGAAGAAGCUGAAGAAUUAAAAUAUUACAAUCCUGAAAAAUUAUAUAAUAAAAAGAUAAUAGGACUUUCGGUUUGGUUCGGAGCGAGGGUAACACGCGAACGGAGAGCUCUGUGGAAAAAGUGAAGUGUGAAGGGAAAAAGGAGAAGGAAGCACAAAGUGACACGAAGAAGGGAAAAUAAAGGAGAGCCAGAGAGAAAGAUGAGUGGGAAAGGGAAAAGAAAGAACAAUUGGGCAGAAUCAGAAGAAUCGAGGAGGAGAAGGACAGGGCAGAGAGAGAGAAAAGAAGAAGGAACAUAGUAAUCAAAGGAGUAGACUGGAACGAAAGAAGCAAUGAAGAGACAGUAAAGGAGUUCAUAAGAGAAAAAAUGAAAAUAGGGACAGAAGCAGAAA
rnacentral:misc_RNA from 1 species